CAGUAGCCACGGUAACACGAAGGGGGCUAGCGUUGCUCGGAAUUACUGGGCGUAAAGGGCGCGUAGGCGGACAGUUCAGUCGGGGGUGAAAGCCCGGGGCUCAACCCCGGAACUGCCUUCGAUACUGGCUGUCUUGAGUACGGGAGAGGUGUGUGGAACUCCGAGUGUAGAGGUGAAAUUCGUAGAUAUUCGGAAGAACACCAGUGGCGAAGGCGACACACUGGCCCGUUACUGACGCUGAGGCGCGAAAGCGUGGGGAGCAAACAGGAUUAGAUACCCCCGUAGUCCCUGUCUCUUAUAC
rnacentral:rRNA from 1 species